rnacentral:rRNA from 1 species
UAACACGUUGGCACCUGCCUGUAAGACCGGGAUAACCUUCCGAAAGGAAAGCUAAUACCGGACUAAGCCUACGCGGGUCUUCGGACCUUGGAGGAAAAGGUGGCCUCUGUAUACAAGCUAUCACUUCUGGAUGAGCCCGCGGCCCAUCAGCUAGUUGGCGGGGUAAUGGCCCACCAAGGCAACGACGGGUAGCUGGUCUGAGAGGACGAUCAGCCACACUGGAACUGAGACACGGUCCAGACUCCUACGGGAGGCAGCAGUGGGGAAUUUUGCACAAAUGGGCGAAAGCCUGAUGCAGCAACGCCGCGUGUGUGAUGAAGGUCUUAGGAUUGUAAAGCACUUU